GGGAGCGUAUUUCAGUGGUAGAAAAGCGAUCUCAUAAAUCGUAAGUCGCAGGUUCGAAUCCUGCCGCUCCCACCA
rnacentral:tRNA from 1 species